GAUCGGGGCACCAGCACGGUCAGGUUUCGUUCCUCCCUGUUGUCCUCACAUGGCAGAGACCAGAAGAAAGCUCCCUGGGGUCUCUUUUAUAAGAGCACACAUCCCCUACGCCAGGGCUCCAGCCUGUGAGCCAGUCACCUCCCAAAGGCCCCGCCUCCUAAGGCCAACACGUGUGAACUCAGUUCUUCUGACUCAUGGUCUGAGGCUUUCUCUUCCACUGGACUUUGGCCUUCUGGGAUGGCGUUCUAGAAGUCUGUGCUAGAGCCCUGUCUGCCAGGGCCUUUUCUGGCCAUCCUUUGGUCUUCUAGUUUUCAUCUUAUGGCUAGAACAACUUGACAGCCUCUUGGCUGUCGCUCUUGAAGGAGGCGGAGGGUGAAGGCAGCAUCCAGGACUCUGCUCAUCACUUCCUGCAUCCGUAGGUCACGGUAGUUAGAAAGCAAAAGAGCGCCUUGGACAUUUGCAGCAGCAUUGAAAUAGAAAUGCUUCGACCCUUAAAAGACUCUCCGAGGCAGAUAUUUCAGAAGGAGAAAGGAACCUACGGCCCCCAAAGAGCAGAGUAUACACAGAGCUGGCAGUACUGAGUAUCAUACAGAGUAAUAAUUUCACAUGUGAAGGAUUUAGAAACCCUCGAACAGCCUUGCGAGAGAAAAAUGGCCAGCUGAAUCAGAGCACGGCUGCCCCCAUCCCGGUGCCGGUCGCCCCACCGCAAAAGAACUGAACAAAGAAAUCCAUCUUGAAACGAACUCAAAACCGCAGCAGCUCCGUCUUUUGCCACAUGAGUUAUGUGAGUGAUUGAGGCUGGCUCCAGUGUCAAGCGGUGUAUGUUGCCUUAAUGUAUUUACUUAACCCAGGACUGCCGCGGAGAAGGCAAACGCACCUCGGCACCCGAAGGUCCGUCCGUGACAAAGAGAACAUUCAGACCAGAUCCAGGGCAACAAACACAUCAGGAACCCUGGGAAGGGAAAGAUGUUGCAAGUACAGCGCGAUGCCGGGCUUUAUUCCCCAUGUGGAGGCAGGCUGUAGCCAGCCAACCUGUGCACCGUUGCUCUCUGAUGGCAGGCCUGCAGGGAGAGGGGACUCCAGCCGGGCUGCGCAGAGCCCCGAUGGGGGCCAGUCCAGGCCAUCAGCGGCCUUGUGUUUCCUUUUAAGGGACCAGGAUUGGCUGGGUGCGGCUCGGUGGCUACUGCACAGAAAGAAUCUUAAAAGCCUGUCACCCACAGUGCGGUCCAUAAACACAGGCAGCAAUCCGGCCCCGCCCACCGA